GAUGAACGCUCGCUACAGGCUUAACACAUGCAAGUCGAGGGGCAGCAUGAUUGAAGCUUGCUUCAAUCGAUGGCGACCGGCGCACGGGUGAGUAACACGUAUCCAACCUGCCGAUAACUCGGGGAUAGCCUUUCGAAAGAAAGAUUAAUACCCGAUAGUAUAGUAUUUCCGCAUGGUUUCACUAUUAAAGAACUUCGGUUAUCGAUGGGGAUGCGUUCCAUUUGAUAGUUGGCGGGGUAACGGCCCACCAAGUCAACGAUGGAUAGGGGUUCUGAGAGGAAGGUCCCCCACAUUGGAACUGAGACACGGUCCAAACUCCUACGGGAGGCAGCAGUGAGGAAUAUUGGUCAAUGGACGAGAGUCUGAACCAGCCAAGUAGCGUGAAGGAUGACUGCCCUAUGGGUUGUAAACUUCUUUUAUACGGGAAUAAAGUGGAGUAUGCAUACUCCUUUGUAUGUACCGUAUGAAUAAGGAUCGGCUAACUCCGUG
rnacentral:rRNA from 1 species